UUCAUUUUUUGAUGGUAAAUGUAAGCUUUACAACUACAUUUUUAGGUUUUUGUGUUUGUUUUGUUUCGUUUGUUUACUCCUAUUUUUACUAGAUUGGUUUAAGAGGAAGAUCUGCAUUUGUUUAACAUUCUGGGAAAACGUUACUUUGGAAACAUGUCUUUUGAAGCAAAUGAUUACAGGGUUUUGGUAUUUUUCAUCGGUUGGAGCUAUAGUAUAUAAUAAUAGCAACGUACAUUGAAGGGAUCACAUCCACCAUUUGAUGAGCAGAAUUGGACAAACUAGGAGAUAAGGUUUCAAGUGAUGUGUUGCUCAUGGUUUUACACGCAGACUGCCCUGGAGUCCGAACUCCAGGUGGAACUUUGGACUCUGUCACACAAGCUGUUGUCAUGCGAGGCGGGGGUGGGGCUGCUUGGAGAAGCGGCUUCACACUAUUUCGAAGAUAGCAGCCACAGAGUCACGAGCGGUGGAGGAUUCACUCUGACACGGGUUUGCAGCCGUUUUCCUGGUGCCCUGUGGAUGUGAUCUCAUUCAAAAUCUGCGUUCUUUGAUAAAAGGAUUAAAAUAAUUUCCCGGAUGG